rnacentral:rRNA from 1 species
AUACGUAGGGGGCGAGCGUUGUCCGGAAUGAUUGGGCGUAAAGGGCGCGUAGGCGGCCCGUUAAGUCUGGAGUGAAAGUCCUGUUUUCAAGAUGGGAAUUGCUUUGGAUACUGAUGGGCUUGAGUGCAGGAGAGGUUAUCGGAAUUCCCGGUGUAGCGGUGAAAUGCGUAGAGAUCGGGAGGAACACCAGUGGCGAAGGCGACUUUCUGGACAAUAACUGACGUUGAGGCACGAAAGUGUGGGGAGCAAACGGGAUUAGAUACCCUGGUAGUCCACACCGUAAACGAUGGAUACUAGGUGUAGGGUGUGAUAAACAUUCUGUGCCGCCGCCAACGCAGUAAGUAUCCCACCUGGGGAGUACGGCCGCAAGGUUGAAACUCAAAUGAAUUGACGGGG